UACGGGGGGAGCAAGCGUUGUUCGGAUUUACUGGGCGUAAAGGGCGCGUAGGCGGCCUCCGCAAGUCAAUUGUGAAUCUCCGGGCUUAACUCAGAACGGCCAAGUGAAACUGUCAUGCUAGAGUGCAGAAGGGCAAUCGGGAAUUCUUGGUGUAGCGGUGAAAUGCGCAGAUAUCAGGAGGAACACCGGUGGCGAAGGCGGGUCUCUGGGCCGAUACUGACGCUGAGGAGCGAAAGCGUGGGGAGCGAACAGG
rnacentral:rRNA from 1 species